AUUGAACGCUGGCGGCAUGCUUUACACAUGCAAGUCGAACGGCAGCGUACGGGGCAACCCUGGCCGGCGAGUGGCGAAACGGGUGAGUAAUGCAUCCGGAAACGGUAUCCUGUAAAGUGGGGGAGUAACGUAGCGAAAGUUACGCUAAUACCGCAUACGCUCGAGAGAGGAAAGUGGGGGAUCGCAAGACCUCACGUUAUAGGAGCGGCCGAUGUCCGAUUAGCUAGUUGGUGGGGUAAAGGCCUACCAAGGCGACGAUCGGUAGCUGGUCUGAGAGGAUGAUCAGCCACACUGGAACUGAGACACGGUCCAGACUCCUACGGGAGGCAGCAGUGGGGAAUCUUGCGCAAUGGGCGAAAGCCUGACGCAGCGACGCCGCGUGGGUGAUGAAGGCCUUGGGUUGUAAAGCCCUGUGGGGGGAGGACGGAAUAAGUCGUGGCGAAUAGCCACGAUGAUGACGGUAUCCCCUUAGCAAGCACCGGCUAACUCUGUGCCAGCAGCCGCGGUAAU
rnacentral:rRNA from 1 species